ensembl:lncRNA
GUUAUUGAUAUAGAUUAGAAUGGAUUGGUAGAAGACACAGCAACAAGGUUAUUGAUAUAGAUUAGUGUUAUGGUAGAAGACACAGUAACAAGGUUAUUGAUAUAGUUUAGUAUGUAAUGGUAGAAGACACAGCAACAAGGUUAUUGAAAUAGAUUAGUAUGGAUUGGUAGAAGACACAGUAACAAGGUUAUUGAUAUAGAUUAGUAUGGAAUGGUAGAAGACACAGCAACAAGGUAUUGAUAUAGAUUUGUAUGUUAUGGUAGAAGACACAGCAACAAGGUUAUUGAUAUAGAUUAGUAUGGUAGAAGACACAGUAACAAGGUUAUUGUUAUAGAUUAGUAUGGUAGAAGACUCAGCAGUAAGGUUAUUGAUAUAGAGUUGAAGUCUGAAGUUUACAUACACUUAGGUUGUAGUCAUUAAAACUCAUUUUUCAACCACUCCACACAUUUCUUGUUAACAAACUAUGGUUUUGGCAAGUCGGUUAGAUCUACUUUGUGCGUGACACAGGUCAAUUUUCCAACAAUUGAUUACAGACAGAUUAUUUCACUUAUAAUUCACUGUAUCACAAUUCCAGUGGGUCAGAAGUUAACAUACACUAAGUUGACUGCCUUAAACAGCUUGUAAAAUUCCAGAAAAUGAUGUCAUGGCUUCAGAAGCUUCUGAUGGGCUAAUUGACAUAAUUUGAGUCAAUUGGAGGUGUACCUGUGGAUAUAUUUCAAGGCCUACCUUCAAACUCAGUGCCUCUUUGCUUGACAUUGGAAAAUCAACAGAAAUCAGACAAGACCUCAGAAAAAUAUUUGAGACCUUCAAAAGCCUGGUUCGUCCUUGGGAGAAAUUUCCAAACGCCUGAAGGUACCACGUUCAUCUGUACAAACAAUAGUACGCAAGUAUAAACACCAUGGGACCACGCUCCAAAACCGCCGUAAAAUAGCCAGAUUACGGUUUGCAACUGCACAUGGGGACAAAGAUGGUUCUUUUUAGAGAAAUGUCCUCUGGUCUGAUGAAACAAAAAUAGAACUGUUUGGCCAUAAUGACCAUCGUUAUGUUUGGAGGAAAAAGGGGGAGGCUUGCAAGCCAAAGAAUACCAUCCCAACUGUGAAGCACGGGGGUGGUAGCAUCAUGUUUGCUGCAGGAGGGUCUGGUGCACUUCACAAAAUAGAUGGCAUCAUGACGGAGUAAAAUGAUGUGGACAUAUUGAAGCAACAUCUCAAGACAUCAGUCAGGAAGUUAAU